UAGGGAAUCUUCGGCAAUGGGGGGAACCCUGACCGAGCAACGCCGCGUGAGUGAAGAAGGUUUUCGGAUCGUAAAGCUCUGUUGUUAAGGAAGAACGAGUGUGAGAAUGGAAAGUUCAUGCUGUGACGGUACUUAACCAGAAAGGGACGGCUAACUACGUGCCAGCAGCCGCGGUAAUACGUAGGUGGCAAGCGUUGUCCGGAAUUAUUGGGCGUAAAGCGCGCGCAGGUGGUUUAGAAAGUCUGAUGUGAAAGCCCACGGCUCAACCGUUGAGGGUCAUUGGAAACUAAUAAACUUGAGUGCAGGAGAGAAAAGUGGAAUUCCUAGUGUAGCGGUGAAAUGCGUAGAGAUUAGGAGGAACACCGGUGGCGAAAGCGGCUUUUUGGCCUGCAACUGACACUGAGGCGCGAAAGCGUGGGGAGCAAACAGG
rnacentral:rRNA from 1 species